AUCUACAAAAUACCGUCAAUCCAAGAACCGGAACUUCAGUCCCCCGGAAUAUCUGGAGUGCCCCGUGGCCAUCGAUAUCCAGCAAAUUACCGAUGUACAUGUACCUAUUCGCGGCCAUCGCACGUCAUAGGAAGGCCACGGGAGCUCCGUCAUCAGUCCAGAAUACGAAAAAUCCCACCCGAGCCCGAUUUUUCCUGCGAAUCAUUUUCCAGGAACGUUCGAAUCAUCUUCUGCGAGUUCGCUUCCACACGUCUCGGUUUCGGUGUCCCAGAGUUUGCAGAGUUUUCAUCGCAGGUCAUUAUUGUAGUUAUAGGUGUAUGCUCUCCCUCUCGUUCUCGCAGUCCACUCGCAAUCAUCCCAGAAGAAGUGUAUAGUGUGUGCCGUGCCACCAUCGUAGCAUGCCAGAAGUGUGAAAUGCCAUCAUCCAAGCAAGCCAAGGAAAAAUAAUAUUGAUCUAUACCAAACUCCGACGACGUUGGGAGGAAAAGUGAGUGCCCGUUCGUCCACCCAACACAACAGCGCGACACUGGUGCUCCAAUCAAAGAUGCUCUCUCUCGCACUUUCUUUCCCGCGUGCGUAUACGCGCGCGCACCGUGCGGAACUCCUCUGAGUUCCCUCCUCGCGAAAGCGUGCGAGAACUUCGAGGAGCGCGAGAGCAGAUUUGCAACAUGUAACACACAUUUUCACGCACGCAAGCACUCACGACAACACCAACCAACCCAACCUGUGUAACAAGAAACAAGAAGAAGAUGUAACUGGCUGUGGCUGGAUGGAUAAAAGUGGACAUUGGCACCAUCUUCGGGAGAGUGGAUUUAGGGAGAACCGUGAACGUGAGAGCACGCACCCCGAAGAGUGAGAUUACGUAUGACAUUGAAAAUGUUUUGCCCGACGAAGGAAGAAAACCUAUUCAGGGAGAAGACCCUGUGAGAAAAAAAAAUCCGUAAUGAAAUCAAGCUUGAAAGUCGAUCGCACGUUCCAGCUAGUUGCAUGCUCGUAAGAAAAAAGAUCUAUAGAAAGUAGUGAAAAUCGCCCAAUCGAAAAGCAAUUCAAGUGGAAGGAAACUACACGCCUACUGCGCGCCCAGUGUAAAACUCAUAAGUGUGUGCUAAACGGCCGAGCACUUCCUUCGGUUGAAACUUCGGUGUCUGAGGAGUAGUCUUUGCUGUUUUUCGAGAGGAUUUUCUUCAAUCGAAGAAGUGCGCGCUCACCCGAUCCGACAACCCCUUCUCAAGAGGGUGUUUAGUGUUUUAUUCUGUGUUUUUAGUGUGGAGUGGGUAAUAAUGAUCAUGGCACGAAAAAAAAGAUCAUUCGUUUAUGGCUCGUGCACAUGUGUUCGGAAGAAAACCGAUUUUUUUCACUGGAGUGGAUUGUGAAUUGAGAAGUAACGACAGCGAUGGCCGGUUAUCGUCAAGUGGCUUCUGGGCAGACGGGCGGAUAGUGUAUAGAUGAUUUAUUACCUGUGGCGCUUGUGUUCUGUAAUAUCACUAAAUAUAAUCGGUGUGCCUGUGUGUGUGUAUCUCGUUCAAUGGAUAUCUACACUCUAGCUGCUCUAGAAUAGUGUAUGCAUGCCCCAUUAGGAUUAUUAGGAUACAAUAUCAUUUGGAUUAUACACAACACAUACUUAGUUGGAUUACAUUUUUAGUGCAGUUCUGGAUAUAUCGGUAAGCUAGAAAUUACACUGUUUUUUUUCUUUUUUGGUUUAAAUCUUUGUUUUACCUGUUUUUCAAAUACAUAUCACGUGAUCUCAUUUGGACUUGGAUUAAUAAUUGCGUACAGCAUACAACAAUCAAUCACAAACAUUUGGUGGUGAUUACUACUCAAACUUUACAGGUUAUAAAUCGAUAAUUAUAUGCAAGUAAGUUUGGUUCAUUGACAACUAUGAAGUUUAGAAAAAAUCAAAUUAGACGUAACAUAGCAGAUACAUUAUGAGAGAUAUGAACGAUAUUUUCACACGCAUGGGACUCUAAAUUUCUACUCAGUAUAUCGCAAAUGACCAGAACUUAAUUAAUUCUCCGUUUUUGGACAGUAAAAAAAAAAUAUUUCAACAAAAUUCAAGUGCAAUAUCAAUGUCAAUAUCAUUGUGUUACUUAAUGCUUGAAAGAUGAUAUUGAGAUGAUGAUGAUGAUUGUAUAUCUACCAUCAGCGAUCAGCGCAAGAAUUGCCUAUGGCUGUAGCGUCAUACUGUAUCAGGGUAACCUAAAUUCACUGGUGACCUUCGGAAAACAAUAUGAUAUUUGUUAUCUCGUGACAACCCAACUAACACAAUAUGUUCUAUAGAAAUUAUUUCGACUCCAAUAUGACCAGUUACUGUGUUUUGGUUCAUAACAAUAAAACCGUUUUUCAGACAGAUAUAUGACCGAAAAAGCGCAGAAGGUGGAGCUUCGGCAACAUAUUUGAGAUGUUAUAAUCAUGUUCUAUAUGAAUCAAAGCAUACUUAAUAAUGCUUCUAAGUAUGUUUUACAAUACAUAAUUCUGACAACUUUCAAAAAACAAACUACACGUCUUCUUUUUCUAAUUGAGGAUGAAAAUUCAGUUUCUUUUCUAAAGCGUAAUCAAUGUUUGUUGCAUAACCGUAUUCAACUAUGUUUCAAAAUGUCAAAAAAAAACUAUUCAAGUGCAAAAUAUUUCUUGCGAUAUUAUUUCAGCUAAACUAUUUCAACUUUAAAUUGGCUUUCUAUGACCAGAAAUUGUGGUGCGAGUCAUUUUUUCUGGUGAAAUAGGCAUUUGUACUUCGAUAAAUUUAAAGCGCCUUAUUAACAUGUAUCUUUGAAGGAUAAUAAAAUAAAACAAAUAAAAACCAUCGUUUUACUUGAGCAUGUGUAAUAGGCCGUCCCUUAUUUUGCAAAAAUUGGAAAUGUUAUAAGUUCGUUAGUGGAAAAUGAUCGUUUUAGCUAAAAAAAUGAUCGUGUCAAAAUUUGAAGUCCGUAUCUCAAGGCUAAGUGGUCCCUCAAGGGGCCUAAAGUUGUCAAAAAUUGUAUGGGACCAAAAAAACAUGAAAUUUUUUUCGACAAAAAAAAAAACAUUAUUCUACUAAAACCGGUGAUUUUAGAACCCUAAAGGGCCAAAAAUGUGCUUAGAUUUGCGAUAUCUCUACUCGUUUUUGAGUUAUUGAUCAAAAUAGGGUAAGUUUCCUUCGGAAUCUAAAAAAAUGGUCAAAAUGCUGAUUUUUCAGUCGUUUUUUGUCAAUAUCUUGAAAACGAGUAGAGAUAUCGCAAAUCUAAGCACAUUUUUGGCCCUUAGGGUCCUAAAAUCACCGGUUUUAGUGGAAUAGCGUAUUUGUUUCGUUGAAAAACAUUUCAUGUUUUUUUGGUCCCAUAUAUAUAACUUUAGGCCACUUGAGGGACCACUUAGCCUUGAGAUACGGACUUCAAAUUUUGACACGAUCAUUUUUUAGCUAAAACGAUCAUUUUCCACUAACGAACUCAUAACAUUUCUAAAUUUUGCAAAAUAAGGGACGGCCUAAUGUGUAACCUAAAGUGCUUUGUUUUCCUAAAUAAUAUUUCUAAUUCCUGCAAAAAAAAUCAUACAUCAUGGAUAAAAAUGGGAUAUUUGACUGGAUAUUUUAUAAAUAUUAAAAGUAUUGAUGAAAAAUAAAUGGCAUACUUGGACACGGCAUGCUAAAUGAUUCGAGAUAUGAUUAGAAAUUAGUGUAAUGCUCACCAAUCUGGAAAAUUUGUAAAUGUAAAUUGAGAAUAUUCUUUUUACAAUGUCAUACAUAUAGCCAUCACAAUUAAUAUGGAUACGAAUGAAGAAAUUUUAAAGUGACAUACACAUGCAAAAUUGACAAUGGCAGAGGAAGCUCUAAAUAAAUAACUGUGGAAGUGCUCGUAGGCUAACACUUAGCUGAGAAGCAGGCUUUGUUGACAACGUCAGAAGAAGAAGAAAAUGUAUUUCACAUUUUUUGGCUGGUUUUAUAAACGAAAAUUUGACAGGAGGUAGUGUCACUACAUCGUGAAAAUCAAUAUCAUUAUCAACAUUGUUGUCGGUUCGUAAAAUGGGUUAUUUUUUAUAAAAAAAAAAAUGCGGUGAAAGUCGAUAAGAAUUUCCAUCUAGAAAAAUGGUACACUACUAGUUUUUCCACGAUGAUAAAAUUGAUGUAUGCCGUCGAGCCAAUUGAAAUUUUAUUAAUUAACUAGCAGUCCCGGCAAACUUCGUCCUGCCUGCCUACUCUGUUUUUGACAUCCGGCUCCAUGAAGAAAUGGCCCUCAAAAUGGAAUUUCAGAUUUUCCCGUUUUUCUUGCUUUCCCGGUCACUUUUUCUAUUUUUUUUUCGUACGAACACGUCGGAGCCCCGGCGGAAUGCAACAGUGAAAGAAUCAUGUCGAUCUGUUGACCCGUUCCCGAGCCUAUUCGUGACGUACAAACACCAUUCCAUUUUUAUUUGUAUAGAUGCAAUCAAAAUUGAAGAGCAUUGGCACGGUAAAAGUAUAGUUUUUAUUCUUAAUUUAUUACAUGUUGAACAUCAUAUCGACAUUUUUAUGAUCGGUAGUGUAAUGACUUUAGUUUAUGUUACAUAUGUUUGUUUACUUAUUGAAAAAACAUCAAUAUGACUUAAUGUAAACAAACAAAACAUAUUAUGUUUAACAAAAACUUCAUCGAAAACAAGUAUUGAAAGACAAACUGAAAAUGUUACUCAUAUAUGACUUAUGAAACAUACUGAACAUGUCAUCAUGUUACACAUGUUUGCAUACAUACUGCAGAAACCCUCAAUAUGACUUCAUAAGAACAAAUGAAACAUAUUAUGUUUCGACAGAACUUAACCAAAACAAGUAUUGGAAGUAAGACUGAAAAUAUUACUCUAAUACGACUUAUCAAACAUAUUGAGUCUGUUGAGCUGUAGAGCGGCUUUCAUUUGUUUAUCGUGUGGUAGGCAUGUAGAAAUUCAAGGAAGUUUCCUUUGCGAUCUACGUCACUAUUGACCCCAUUCAUCUUAUUUAAGCAAACUUAUACCAUUAUUAUAAAUAGCAAAACAAAUCCUCCUGAUAGUGCUACGGGUUGACGAAAGUGGUCUGAAGUGGUCUAGUCUAGUCUAGUCUAUACAUACACAGCCAUUCAUUGAAAGAAUCCUAGAAAAUGAUAGAAUCGACUACUUCUACCAUUUUUCUUGUCAAUAUCAAUACUUGCAAGGCAUCAGAGAUGUAUUACAAGUGUUGAAGCGGCCUAUGGAACGGCGACAUCUCGUCCGCCGCUCCGUAUCGUAUGUGUAAUAAAUGUGAAGCAAAAACGUUGGGAGUGACGUUGCUAAGAAAGUUAAUUGCACUCCGUUAGGGCUCCUCUUCUUCCUGGGAUGGGACAAAGGUAUUUAUGGUACUAACCCCUUAUGUCCUGGCUUGAAAGCCUAGGUUUAAGCGUCAUUGCUCGUUCUCUGAAACGAGAAGAAAAUAUAACGAUCCCUUCCCCGAGUGGAUUAAAUACCUUGUAUUAUUAACCGACAAACUACUUAGAACCAUAACUGCGAGUCUAUUAUGGAAACAGUAAACGAUAAAAGUUUCCACAAUUUUAUCUGAAAUUUAGACAGUAUUUUGUUAUAAAUAUUUGGCAGGAAUUCUCAUAUAGAGAUAGCUACAUCUAAAUGAUAUGUGGGUUUGGAUGGGUGAUAUAAGAGAAAAACGAAAUUUGUGUCAGCCUUAGUAAUAAAGUUUAAAAAUCAAAUCAAUUAUUCAUACAUUUCAGUUUGUAUAAUUCUGCCUUUAUAUUUGUGACGAUAAUUCAUUUAAGCUUUGUAGUUAUCGGUUUUCAUCGAACUCGAGACAAAUGAAGUUAAAUGAAUAUGUUGCAUUAACUUGAAAAGCAUUACUGUGGCCUCAUUCGUUAGGCAAACCUGAAUGAUAACUACCCUUUAAAAAGUGGAAGCAUUAAUGAACAAUCAAUAAACAAAUAUAAAAAAAAACAUUGACUCACAACUAAAAAUUCAUUGAUUUCGCUUUAGAGGAUCAUACAUAGCCGAGGCGGUGAACGCACGGGUAUUCAGCAUGACCAUGCUGAGGGUGACGGGUUCGAUUCCCGGUCGGUCCAGGAUCUUUUCGUAAAGGAAAUUUCCUUGACUUCCUUGGGCAUAGAGUAUCUUCGUGCCUGCCACACUAUAUACACAUGCAAAAUGGUCAUUGGCAGAGGAAGCUCUCAGUUAAUAACUGUGGAAGUGCUCAUAGAACACUAAGCUGAGAAGCAGGCUUUGUCCCAGUGAGGACGUUACGCCAAGAAGAAGAAGAAGAAGAAGACAAUGCUGAAUGGGGUCGAUUGUGCUAUCACCGAUGCAUAUAUAGGGUGUCUGUACCAAUUUUGGCACUACCUAAGGAAAACUAUUUGUACAAAAAUAACGAGAAGACCAACGAAUGUCAACAAUAUGUUAAAAGAUAGCUUAGCUUCCAUACUUUACAGGAAAAAUAUAGAAACAGAACCAAAACAUUUUUUAGUGUUUAUUACAACGUGUGCCAAUGAUAGGAACCCUGUACCAGUUAUGGCUAUAUUUUUUAACUUUGGUUCCUUUUCGCACUAUUUGCAUGCAUUCCUUAUGGGAUUAGCCAUAACUGGUAUACUAUGGCGAUAUUAGGUGCAAGGAAGCCGAAGUUUUAAGGAAAAUGAUUUAUUUCUACCAUAAUUUGAGCAAAAUAUGGAGUUUAAAUGAGUGCAACCAUCUUUUGUGAACGUCAGCUGUUGUUCACAACUUUGUUCUUGUUGAUUUACAUCGUAAAAGGGCGAAAAUCAAUUAUGACGAAUAAUUGGUACUAUAGCCAUAAUUGGUACACUUACCCCAUGUAGCAAGAAACAACACAAUCUGUUUUAGAGUGAACUUUUGGAAUAUUCGAGUGUAAUGGAUGGUAAAGUGAAAAAUGGAAUAUUCUCACCGGGUUUCAAUGAUGAAAUUUGACCUUCACUAACAAAAACCAAGGGUAGCUCAGCAUAAUCAACGUCUAGAUUUGAAAGCCUCAUUUCUUGAUCAUCGGAAUGAUUUGUCCUUGGUUUUGUUCCAAUUGGUGCUUAAUUUUUCCGCAGUCUUGAAACGCUUGAAACGGUUCUCGAUCAACCCACACCGACGUCACUUUCGAUCCCCCCUAGUACGUGCCCGGCCGAUUAGCUACAUAGUAAUUCUCGCGCAAAAGUCACUCCAGAUCCUCUACUGGCACUUCGUUCGCGUAUUAGCUAAAUUAGCAUUUCAAAGCACUAACCAGCACCUUGACCAGCACGUGGACGAAUUCCCAGCGAAGUGAAAACGUCACGCGCACGAAAAAUGCAACCGUCCGCCGACGAAAGUGGUCUGAAGUGGUCUUUAACCCUUUGAAGCCGGAGGGGUCAUAUAUGACCCCGGCGAUGAAACCGAGUAUAACAACCAUGUUCGAGACCAGCGAGGUUGCGACAGCAGCGGCGAAACAAUUCGGCUUCAAAGGGUUAAAGAAACUAUUACAGGAAGACUCAAGCCAUUUCAUGUCGUAAAAUAUAAAUGUGAGCUGCAAAAUAUUGUGAUAGUUUAUAUAUUUAUUACAAUAAUCGGGUAAGUUGGACGGCAGAAGUAUAGAGAAGAAUCUAUUGAAAGUUCGCGUGCAAUACAGGAAAUAUGUUGUAAUGUAAAACCCCAUAAAUUGGAGUGUUGUAAUAUUGUUGCAUUUAUUAGCGAAACGUUAAGGUGAAGAUAUGACGAAGCCACAGCUCGAAUUUUCAUGAGCACAAAUCUGAUGAACUAAAAGUCCCUACCGAGAAUAUGUUUGAUGAACAUAUUAAGACAAAUAUAAAACUUAAUCAGACUUGUCAUAUUACGGCAAAAUAAACUUUAUUAGAACAUAUCCAACAAAAUUGAUAACAACAUGUCAGAUUUAAUAAUUAAAUUAAUUUAUUAUCGAUUUUUGCGGCUUAACCAGCCGAAUGGAAGUUUUACUUUAUUCCAAAAGCUAGACUUUACAUAUACUGGCGUGAGUGAGAAAUGGACAAAUUGAGGUGAAAUUUGCGAAAAAGUUACUCGUCCUCUCGGUGAGACUCGAACUCACGACUCCUACUCACUAGACAGGCGCGUUGCCGCUACGCCACGAGAAGACUCGAAGACGUAGCUGCUAACCUGAAUUCAAGUUCGACACAAAAUUCCGAGGUUAUCUUUUCCACAGAUUGCACCCCUUUCGGAUGGAAUGAGAUGUACAUCCACACUACGCAUAUAUUGUAUAUGUAAAGCCUAGGCGAGAGCGCAUUGUUUUUGUGUGUUGGAAGUCCACACACCUCUCAUCGACGACUGUGUCGAAGAGAUCGCGCGGUGAGCGGAAAGCUUCCAAUGGGUCGCGACGUUCUCAAACGACCGGUUACGGAACAUGAGUCCGUUGCUCGUUGUCUGAUUUGUUUGAAAAGACAAAAUAUUUACUCAAAUACGACUUUUUAAUAAGAGAUCAUUAAAGGCUAGUUUUUGGAAUCAUGAAUAGGGUAAGUGUACCAAUUAUGGCUAUAGUACCAAUUCUUCGCCAUAGUUGAUUUUCACCCUUUAACGAUAUAUAUCAACAAUAAAAAAAAUGUGAACAACAGAUCACGUUCACAAAAGAUGGUUGUACUCAUUUAAAGUACACAUUUUGCUCAAAUUAUGGUAGAAAUAAAUCAUUUUCUUUAAAAUUUCGGCUUCCUUGCACCCUUUUUCGCCAUAGUGUACCAAUUAUGGCUAAUCCCAUAAGAAAUGCACGCAAAUAGUGCGAAAAGGAACCGAAGUUAAAAAAUGUAGCCAUAACUGGUACAGGGUUCCUAUCAUUGGCACACGCUGUAAUAAAUACUAAAAGUAGUUUUGGCUCCGUUUUUAUAUUUUUCCUGCAAAGUAUGGACACUAAACUAUCUUUUAACAUAUUGGUGGCAUUCGUUGGUCUUCUUGUUAUUUUUAUACAAAUAGUUUUCCUUAGGUAGUGCCAUAAUUGGUACAGUCACCCUAUGACUUAUACAAGACAACAUUUGUUUUGAAAAACUUUGAAACAACUGUUAUAGGACAAAAUGAUUAGUUUAAGACUUCUGAUUAUGUUUUCGGUGUUACUUGGGAAAUGUCUGGCCACCCCACGAACGUUUGUCCAGAAACCAGUUCAUCUAACUUCCUUAGGCUAACAACUCGCGAACCGUAGAUAUAUAAUUUGGGUACUGUAUGUUUUGUUCCAAAAAGCUCACCUAGGCCUGAGAGAUCGUAGAGUUGUCUACAUUUUUCAUAGGUGUCCAAAACUAACCAUCCUUUCCCAUCCCUCAGCAGUCGCAAGGACGUGGCCAGGACAGUGCUCGACCAUUGGAGGAUUGCGUCAGUCUUGUCUAAGAGUCAGAGAUUAGUCCCAAGUCUUUGUGCUUUGGUUCGGACGGGAAGGAGGCAACACUCAUAACAGCGUUCUAGGACUGUCCCACCUACGAAUUUGUGCGACUCGCUUAAUGCUAAUGCUAAUGCAUGUUUUGUUCCAAAAAGCUAAUAAGAACAAAUCUCGCGUUUAGUAUCAUACGGGCGUAUCUACAAUGAUCGAUUUCUCUUCAUCGAUUUUCUCUUCGAAUUAUUCUGGGAAAUACGACCAAUAUUCGGAUGAUCUCUCGGUGUGUUUCGCUGAAGGACGACUAGGACUAUGUAUGUAUGUAUGUAUGUACAAUCCAUCUCCCACUGACCGGCAGUGCUUUUAUGGAAGAAAAAUGUCUGCGCCUAUUUUUAACUUUUAUCCAUAGGCGCAAACACUUUUAGUCCUGGAGAUGGAAGGUGAUAGCUCUACUGCUCUUCCAACGACCCAUUUCAAGUAUGACAGGGCUUCCACGUACAUCUUGAGGUCGUUUUCUGAAACAGUAAGCCCCGCAUUGAUGCAUCCGGAUAUCAAUUGAAUAUCUGAAAUGCAUUAACACUUCCUGAAUCAAAAAUUUGCUUUUUUGUUUCUGGCGCUUAUUUGGUAUGGUAAAUAUCCCAUGUAUGAAUAAAAUGACGUUUUUUAAUUAGAAAGAUCUCACCAAGUUCUUCAUAGUCUGCCGUGAUGUAGUUGUAUUCUUGUUUCUCCAGCGAUGCAGCAACGUCCGAAAUAGCUGGCAUCACACCGAAACUCCCGAAUUACACUUUCACACGCGGAAAAUUGACUGGGUGGCGUAAUACCGACCAAACCACCAGCGAAAUCGUCCCAUAAAACUCGUUUUGAGAACGCGCAAAAAAUGACAAGCGGUUAAAGUAGACACCCGUUCGCGGCAACGCUAACUUCGCCCCGCUGAAGGACGACUAGGACUAGGACUAAAACCACAAAAACUACUGAAAAUGAUUUGCCAGCCAAGUUAUUAACCAAAGAGAAAAUCGAUGAAGAGAAAUCGAUCAUUGUAGAUACGCCCGUAUGAUACUAAGCGCGAGAAAUUCUUCUUAUUUUCGAUUAUUCAACCAAUUCGACCCUAUUCUAUUGAGCUACGUUGAAAACAACCCUUAGGACAAGGUAUUUGAGAUGCAUAGCUUACAUUUUACAGCUUUUCUAGAGCACCGUUUUUUAGAACCGUUCAACGGAUAUGGUUGAAAAUGCAUCAUGCUGGUUGUUUAGUGAUUGUCAACAUGGUGAUGCAUUUUCAUCCAAAUUUUACUAAAGUUUCUAAAAUUUGGUGCUCUAGAAAAUUUGAGCUAUGUACUUCAAAUACAUUGUCCCUAACAAUUACAGGGUUGUUACAACAGCGCGAAUUUCGCAAGAAUAAGAGGAAUACAAGUUAAAAAAAAAUCUAAUUUGUUUCCAGGAAUUCCGUUCAUUAGAAGCCGAACGAGUAAUUUCGACAAUAAUCUGCCAGAAUUACCGGUACAAUUUUAUAAUUUUAAAAGUCACCUGCCAUAUAUUUUUAAAAGAGAUUUCUAGAUAAAUCCUUAGAUUAUUUCGGGAAAAAUCUAUUGAGGGAAAUUCUGGAGGAAAAAGGCAUAUAAAUCAUUUCAAGAAUUGUUAGUGAAAAUUUUGGCGAAACAUUCUGGGAAAUCUCUGUAGGCCUUUCUGGAUAUACAGGGGAUGGCCACAAUGUUUGGGAUAGGCAACUUUUUUUCUCCCACAAAAAAAGUCGACAUGCUGUAACUUUUCAUAGAGUGCAUCAAAAAAUCUAAAAUUUUGCCUGUUUGUCAACAAAAUUAAUCAAUCGAGCCCAAAUUUGUACCAAUGCACAUACAACAGGUUGAUAAGGAGUCAAAAUUUGAAAUUUUUUGAUGCGCUCUAUGAAAAGUUAUAGCAUGUUGAACGUAGGAAUCCUUGGAGAAACUUCUAAAAAUUCAGGAAAGCCCUGUAGGAAUUUCAAAGGGCUCCAGUCCAGUAAGUGAAUCAACAUUAUCCUUCUAGGAUUUUCCCAGGGAUUACACAUUUCAAGGGACGUUUUCUCAGGUUCCUCCAGGUAUUCUUCUUGGGAAAUUCCUCACUGGAGAUUCAUUCAAGAACUACUAAGGCAUUGCUCAACAAUUUUUCGAAGUGAUCUUAUAAGCAUUCUUUACGAAUAUCCUUCUCAAAUUCAUGCUGGUUUUUUAAAUUUUGUAUCGCGCACUGUCUCCAAAAAUAUAUUCAGAAAUACUUAAAGAAAGUCUCCCCGAUUCAUUCUGUAUAUUUCAAAGAUUUUUUUUCAGAAAUAUCUUUAAUGUUUUUCUGCUCCCUUUGAAAUUUCUCCAGUUUUUAUAUAUUUUUCCCACGAACCCAUGCUCUUGGCAUGUUUCUACUGAAAUUUUAUCUAACGAAUUCUUAUCAAAAAUCGCUCUAUGGUUCUUUAAGGAAUGUUUUUGAAAAAAAAAAUAACGGGAGUUUUGUGCAAUCUAGUAUGUGCAAUUUGAAGAAUUUUUGGUUUUACCUAAAGAUACCACAUGGCUCGAACUCUUGCCCCACUGUGUGUAAAAUAUGACUUGCAAAUGUAUUGUGCAAAACGUUAUACAAGCCAAAGCUUCCUCAAAAUAUACCCAUUUACGCCCCACUAUGAAAUACUGAAUUCGAUUUCAUUACAAUUCCAAUCCAUGCGCUGGAAGUAUCAUCGCAAAUUAUAAUUGUUCGAUCAUAAACCAACAUAUAGUCAUAACUUUUUAAAAUAUUAAAGAAUUUGCAAAAUUCUUGGAGUGAAAGACUCUCAUUCAAAAAGGUUUCGAACAACCUUGACACCCGAAAGAAAUAAUUUGAAUUGAGCUUAAAAACUCAAAAAAAAAACUCUUGCUCAACUAAAACUUUUGCCCUACAGUACUUUAUUCAUGCAUAAGCUUUAAAAUAAUGACUCUGUUCAAAUUAUAUUUAUCUGUGGGUGUCCAAAACAUAUAUUCGGUAUCCAAAUAGCAUUUCUUACAAUGAACUUAAAAGCGUUUCUUAACUUAGAAUGAUUUCGUUAAGUUCAACAGUGUCAACAUGAACAUAAAAUAAAGCCACAUUAUGAGCGUAUUAGGAACUUUUAAAAAAUAUUCAAUUGCUUCCUAAGGAAAUUAGGCGCCAAUUCUUCCAACGUUGUUCGUCGAAAAAAGUAUUCAUCAAAGACAUUAUUAACUUACCAUAACUGACGGUAAGACUUGGAAAAAGUAGUAAGAAGCAAAUGAAGCAUAUUUAUUGUAUUCAAAAGAAAUAAUAACCUGUUUUUUAAGGAAAAACUAUUUCCUGAGAGGGUCCUUUGGUUCCGUAAUAUAAGCCUAACUUUACCAAACACCGUAUCUAACAAAAUCCACGAACGGAGAAAAUUGGAGGGGAAGUUCGCUGUUCCCAUAGCAACUCAUACAUUGAGCAUUUCGGAAACGUGAAAAACCCGGAUAUUUUUUUUCACAAAUUACCCUCAAAGGUGACUUAUACAAGUAGUCCUCAACAAAAUUCAGCGCCUCAUAUGGAAAUCUCUAUUUUGUUUACAUAUGUUACAUACGGUGUUUGGUAAAGUUAGGUUUGAUAUAUUUCAUAUUUGAAAUCGAAUUAUUUUUGAAAUUAUUCACAACUUUCCCGCACAGCAAUAGAAAAUUACAGGCAUGAGGUGAACUUUUUCAUAUAACACUCGAAAAUUUAAUAGACGUAGUUCUAAAAACUGUACAGCGCAUGAAUCUAUAGACCUUUGAUCACAGAUUAUAAACUUCUGAGUAAAUUCACUUUUAUCAAAAGAUUCUUCAAGAAUUUCUAUGCCAUUGGAAUGAAUUCUACGAAUUUUAUCACAUGCUCAUAUUGUUUCAAAUUGAAUCAUUUAUUUCUUGUAUAGUAGUGCUAUAGUGUGCCGAAAACUAGUACUUUUCGGCAUUGUUGUUUGAAUGUCCAUUUUGAUUAUUCUUUUACACUUUUUUGCACUGCAAAUUAAGAGAAUUUGCCGGAAGUAUAUUUAUUUUAUACUCAGGCAUUUUCGUUAUGUUUCCAUGCAGACCAAACUGGACAUGACAGUCAUCUCGGUCUGUCCUGAUCUGUCGGCCUACUGAAACGCCUACUUUAUUGGCUAAUAGGCUAAUGCUAGGAUAGGAUGUGACAACAGAAGUUCGCCUGCCUUGUUAUUUUUUCGUUCGAUUUCGUCGACCGAUUUCAAACAAAAGGUUCUUUCAGUUAUAGUCAAAUAUAUCAACAAUUCAACGGAUUUUGCAUCAAAUCAAGGGUAUUUAUCGAUGUUCAGACGCCACUUUAGGUUAAUUUACAAUGGAAUGCUGACAUUUUUAAGUCGAUAAAACUGGAAUAUAAAAAUACAAUGAUUUUGAAUAUUUAUAUCACAUGCUGAACCUACAAACUAGCAACACUACCAAACCAAUAACAAAGCGAUCUGAUCGCAGCAAACGGAUAUCAGUUUCGACCAAUCAGCGACUGGUCUCCGUUUGACGGCAAAAUGGUCUCCAAUCGGCUGACUACGUGACGCAUCCUAUCCUAGGGCUAAUGCAUGUGGAAGCUCGCUUGCCUGUUAUCUCAGAAUGUGUUAGUGUAGCAAAUAAUGGUGAAAAUCGGUGGGUGUUUUUCGUAAUUACAAAAAAAUUUUGAAUGCAACUCGUUGCAAAACUCGAUUUUUCAGCACUCGUUCCAUUUAUCCAACUCGGCAAGCCUCGUUUGAUAAAUCAUAGAUAAAUAAUACAUGUUUAUCUAAGGAUAAAUAUACAACUCGUGCUAAAAAAUCACCUUUUUGAAACUUGUUGCUUAAAUAGCUCAUUUGCGUUUUUUCUUAUAAGUUGAAAAUAUUUGUCUAAAACCUUGUAUCUAGUAACGUUAAAGUAUGGCUUAGGAUAUGCUUAAAAACUGUUGAAGACCCCAAAGUGAUCUGACGUGUAUUGAAAAGUUAUAGGGGAAAGGAUCACAUCUUCAGCAUAGUGCUCCUAUUUUUAUCCUGUCGAAAAUAAAGCCAGUAAGCGCUCCCAAGUAACAAUUUUAAUUUUAUCAAAGUUUUUUAGCGGUUCAGAAAUCCUAAACAUAAAACCAUUGAUGCCGACUUGAAAAUGCUCUCGAGUUCUUGUAUGCCUCGAUAAGCCUACGUUCUGGCUAGUUGGCCUAGUCUUAUUAGGGUCUACAGGACUUCGUAUGCAAACCGGCUUAGGAUUUCAGGUAUCAUAGUUUUAUCAAUCUUCUAAAUAAAACCAUCUUCUGACUUAUCAAAUAAUUGUUUUGAUUAUUUUUCACUCUCAAUGUUCGAUCGUCAGAAUAAAUUAUACUUGGUUGUUUAUCCAGCCAUCAAUUGGAAAGAUGCAGAUAUGGAAUUCAGAUUUGUUUUCCUAUUUAAUACGUGUCAGGAGACAUGCCACGCAAAAUUUGUGGUGAAUGUGACUGUGAUAAUGACAAAAACUAAGUGCUCCAACCAGCCAAGGGCUGAAAGUCUCUCUAAUAAAGACAAAUCAAUCAAUCAACUAAGUGCUCCACACAAACUAUGCAUAAUUUGGAAGUUCAAUACAUUUAAUUUACUCGGUGGAAUUGGGUGCAAAAAAUGUUUUUUCAACACAGUGGAGUUUAAAAGACAUUAUGUAAUUUUUCUGACAAAAUAAAAUGACGGAAACGUGUUGCAUGGUUUAAUUUGAUCUUAAGCUGUACGUGAAAUCAUAAAAUUGAGUAAUAAUUUUUCUGUAUUUACAUGAAUUAUCCCGGCUAGGCGACAUAUUUUUCUGAUAAAACUCUGUGUUCCUGAUGAUUCCUCCAAUAGGGCUAACCCUCCUGAGGAAGUCAUAACUGAGCUCAUGAUAGAACUAGCGGUUUUAUCACAGCAUUUUUUUGGUUUAUGUUACGGCCACGAAAUCUUUUGUUGGUUUUAUGCAUUGCCUCACAGUUUUGUGUAUUUGUUUACAAAAAAAAUCUCUCCGACAACAACUGCAAGUUUUAUUGAAAUGGUAUAUAAUAAGUGAUAAAACCAAUUCAUGUCUACUUGCAAGUCUUUAAUUGAAGAAUUUAAUAGCAGGAGUUAUAUGAUAGUUUUAUGGAACGCCAAAGGUUAAAAGUAAAAAACUACCACAUAAAACUAAUUUAGAACAACUAGCUUUUUGACAUACUCGUAUAAAACCAGGAUAAAACAUGAAUAAGCCUUUUUUUUACUUAAUCAUUUAUUUAAGGCUCAUGCGCCAACAGGCAUAACGGAGCCGAAUCCAGUUAAAACUAUUUACAAUUUCAUGUUUUUGUCUUAUAAACUAUGUUAGUUUUGGGAAACCGAAAAACUCGCGGUUUGGUCGAGGUUAUGGGGAACAAAAAUAUUUGAGGAAAGGAUAGGGUGAUGGGGCUUUUCAUUGAUACGUGACAGCUUGGUGUGGCGUAUUGCUGCUGGUCAAGCGUAGAGUGGACAUACAACCUGGAACGAUACAUACAGACGAUUUUCGAAGGGACACGAGGUGGACAAGUGGAACAACAAGACGGGGAUAUCAGACGAAGACUUCAGCUUGCUUCAAGAAGUCGUACACAAGCUUCAUAUACUCAAGAUCAAGUUUACCCAACACAUCUCUAAUGUCUUCCUUUUCUGGUUUCCCUCGGGCCCUGAGGGAUGCACAUAAAUCGGAGCUGGCAAUCCGUAUUCGGGACAUUCCCACACAACAUGGUUGAUAUCUUGAUAGCCUGCACCACAGCUACAACGAUUGCUAUCUGUGAGCCCUAUUCGAUAGAAAUGCGAGCCCAGAGAGUAGUGAUUGGACAUAAGUCGACACAUUAUCUUGAUAAAAUCUCGACCCAUAUCCAACCCCUUGAACCACGCCGUCUUCGAUACCUGUGGGAGAAUUGAGUGUAACCACCUGCCCAACUCUCCUGCAUCCCAUUUUUGUUGCCAACUAACCAAGGCAUGCUGACGAGCAAUCGAAAAAAAUCAUUGAAAGCGAUAUGCCUUCAAGGCAUGCUGAUUGUUACUUGGGCUAUUUGUUUUGUUUUUUUUAUGUCAUCUUUGACGAUAAUGAUGAUGAUGAUGAUAAGGUCUACGAUUCGUUGUAGCACGAUAACUAAGCCCGACAGCAGUGGGCUGUCCAACCAAUGUUAUUAGAUAAACUGCCCAUGAUCGCAUAGUUGACGUAACCACCAUUGACAACGUCAGCAUUCACAAGCUAAUUUCUAUCAAAUGUGCAUAAUUGUGGCUAGUUUUAUUCAAUAGAGCACCAGAUCUUAUCACUAACUAUAUAUCAACGUGAAAAAAAUUAUAAACUUUUUAUUAAUCAUUGUUAAAAUUUCAAAGGUAUGUUGAAAACUACAGUGGCGCUUAUGUCAACUAUGCGAUUAUGGGCAGUAAAGCAAAACAUCAUAAUUAUACUUAACUUGAUUUUCUAAAAUCAACAUCACACGAUUAGAUAUGCAAGACAUCGCAUUGCAGGAUGCCCCAAUAAAUGUGAAGAGUCCGCCGUCUGUAUACACGGUUUUAACGAGGCUGUAUACAUGCUUUGGCAUCUCCACUCUUCCUAACCAUAACGUAUCGAUUGGCAAUCUCCUCCUCAUCCCCAGAAUUGGUUGUGUUGUAUUUACUUAUAGAAACCCGGUUCAACAUUACACGAGAACCUUAGAUAUACACAUUUCAAGCUGUAAACUUCUAAUUUCGAUUGUUAUCGAAUUUUCAUGUACCUCGAAUCUUUCUUCAGCUAAUGUCAGCUUUCUGGAUAUAUUUUAUUAUUGGAAAGUUUGAAAAUAUUCUAUUGGAGAAAUUUUGAUUUAGCUGAGUUUUUGGAUAAAUUUCAUACUAAAAUUCAUUAAAUACAGUUUUGAGCCGAAUAACGUCCCACACAAAAUGUAUGGGAGAAUUUUCGCUGACAGAAUAUUUUCUAGUCUUCCGAUUAUAAAUAUAUAGCCCAAAUACUAAUUAUUUUCGAAGAAAAAUCCGAGGUACCGUAAUCCGGGGUAACAUUGAUCAGAAUUUUCGAUCUUUCUUGAAUAAUUCUUUUGUUAAAGCAAAUAUUACAUGUUUUAUAUUUUUAAAAGAAGUACUGGCCCUCUGAGUUUGUGUUAAGCUACUCGAAAAAGUAUUGUAAAACUUUAAAACAUGUUUAAAUAGGUUUUUAAAUCUAAUUUUUGAUUGUGUUGAUUUGGGGUAACAUUGAUCAUGUCAGUGAUCAAUGUUCAUUUGUGUUGAAAAUACCCUUACUUACUAAAUUCGGGGUCGCUGAUUUCGAAUAUGUUGUCCAAAUUCUUACAAAUAAUGUACUUUUCAAGUUAUUUUAGGUUUAAAAUCCUCUAAACCACGAAUAACGCCUAAAGGUAGGCAAUGGCUUAAGGAAUUGAUAGCCGACUUUUAAUAAUUCGUAUAUUUUACUGAAAAAUAGCAUUUUCAUAAAAGUUUCGUUUAUUAAAUCCAACUCUAGGGUAUCAUAUUGAAGUAAUACAGUGAUUUCGAACCUCAUAUUAAAUCUAGUAUUCACGCCAAGCAUGAAUGUUUGACAGUGUAUCUCAUUGCGUUACGAAACACAGUUAUGGAAAAAUCGAUUUAAUUCAAUGUUUAUGAAAUUCAAUUUUCAUAAAUUGCAUGUCAUUUAAUAGCUAAAUGAUAGCAGAUUACGAUAUACCAUUCCAUAGUAGAAACUGAUUCAAUGUAAAAUGCUUGUUUGAACAUUUCAUGAGGUGGGUCAAGCCGAUCAAUGUUACCCCGCUGAUCAAUGAUACCCCGGAUUACGGUACAUAAAAGUUCAAUAAUAACACUAGUUUACAAAAUAAAACGAAAGUCGUGAACUUCGAUCAACGACCAAAGUUUUUGAAGCAUAAUUUAGCGCUGAUUUCGAAACCGUGCUUCAAAAAAUUUAAAGUAGAACAGUUUUUAAGUUUUAGCUCAAUAUUGAGUUUAACAACUUUUGAUAAUAUGAAAUUAACUAAAAUUCAAAUAUCUUGCGUUUUGUUCAACCAAUUUUAAAUCUUUUUCCAUAAAUUAAAAGCUGAAUAUAAUACCAUUCGAUCAUCUGAAUGCAGGUUUUGUGUCAGAUUGAUGAAAUUCAAGAUAUUGGCGAGUUUUAGGGACGAUCUCCUUAAAUUUAUGCAAAUUUUCCGAAAAUAUAUGAAGAAAUAUAUUUUUUUCGGUAAGAAAAAAACAAUUUAAAAAUUCUUUCUCAAUGUAUAUUUAACAUAUCAUAUGUAGGCGAGUUACAGUAAAAAAUUCAGCUCAAUCGGAGCAUUGAUUACAGAGAAUGAGAUGAAUGAAGUGAGCGACUUUGCUUAAAAAUAGAACAAAAAUCGGUAUCAAAUCAUCAACCUUGUAUGGAAAGUCGAAAAAAUUUCCGCUCUACUGUAAUUUUUUUCCUUCACGUUUUCGAACUCAGGGCAUGAUUCUACACCAAAAACGAUCAUCAGCUUACCGAGUUCAAAAAUGCUGUAAACUAGUGUAAUCGAUAUUUUGACACCGUGUGAUAUAGUAAUUUUUAUUUUUUUUUUCUUGCUCACUUGUAAGCUCAAAAUAAGAAAAUCCGGAUUCUAAUGAGUUUGUCCUUGAGCUCCUUAUGAGAAAAAUAUGAAAAAAAAAAAUCAUUUUUCCCUUACUCAAUCCCAUUCAAAUUUCAAUCUCAAAGCAAAAUACGAGGGUAUGAAACGUGGUAUGAAACCAAUCACAUCCAAAUUUUGCACGGUUAGUUUGGACGCUAAUAUGGAUCGAAAAAGCUGUGUUCCAAGUUGAUGCUACCAAAUUUUUAUUUUCUCAUGUAACGUUGACCCAGUCUGGGCCAUAUCAGCAAUCUAAAAGCAGUAUUGGCCACUUGGUGGCACCGGAAUAGAUCCCCGAGGCGAGGCCCCGGAAAUGUGACCAAUUCUAACAUUUUGUACCACUGCUCCUUGCGGUGGCACAUGAAUAUUUGUAGUUUUUUUUUUAUAAAGACUCCAUCAGGAUCAGUGACUAAGUAAUCUAAAUGGGAUAUCUGGGUCUGCAUAUAAAUAUGAGAGGUGAACCAGCCAAGAGCUAAAAGCCUAAUUAAAAAGCUAAUAGGGGGAUUAGGGACGUAAUGGACACCCGGGGCGAAAUGGACACCCCUGUUUUUGCCGAAACCGUUGACUUUUAUGUAAAACUUCUAAUGCAUAAGUGUAAAGGAACAAGUCAUUGUUCUAUUUUUCAAAAAUACCAUUUACAUUCCUUCAAAAUAAACAAAACAUCAUUGAAGUUGAAGUAUAUUUUUCAUAUGGUGGGUUUCUUAUAAUUUCGAAGCAGCAGCAAAUAAGGUAUUACGAGUGUUUUGAGUGUGUCCAUCAUAAAAACAAAGGAAUUGUUAGCUUAACUAUAUGUAUACGCAGAUUUAGCAAUGGAUGAAGUAUUAUAUUUUUGACCAGAACUCAGGCCAAACAUGUCUUAAGGUCCUAUCUGCAGAAGAGAGGCUCUCUUUGGUUUCUCUCUCUUUCGUUAAUAUCUUAGCUGUUUAUUUGAAUUAUGAUUGUCUCCUUGCAUAGAACGAUGGUCAAAACAAUCGUCUUUUGAUUUGUACUGCAAAAGUAGUUGAAAAGUGUACCAUUACA